CUGAAGACAGUCACAUAAGGUUUGCACCAUUGUUGUUUGUUUAGGCAGUCAAGUCUGCAUUUCGUAGUUUGCCUUUUGAAUUAUGUUCUUGGAUAUUCAACUAUCAAUUGUAUCAGAGAGGAUCUUGGGAGAUACAAAUUAAAACAACCAUGAGAUUUGCAACCUCAUGCUCUGCUUACCACAUGGUUGUUCUUGUUUUGAUUUCUUUUUUGUUACUCAUCUCUUUUGAUUUUCCUUUGUUGCAUAACA
rnacentral:lncRNA from 1 species